rnacentral:lncRNA from 1 species
GUGUGCAAGAGGGUGAGCUGGUGUCAGGUAGGUGUGCAAGAGGGGGUGCUGGUGCAAGAACACCGGGUGUUGGUGCAAGUGGGUGUGCAAAAGGGUGAGUUAGUGCAAGGUGGGUGUGCAAGAGAGGGUGUUAGUGCAAGAGCAGUGGGUGUUGGUGCAAGUGGGUGUGCAAAAGGGGGUGUUGGUGCAAGACAGGCGGGUGUUGGUGCAAGUGGGUGUGCAAGAAGGUGAGUUAGUGCAAGACCACUGGGUGUUGAUGCAAGGUGGGUGUGCAAAAGGAUGUUUUGGUGCAAGGUGGGUGUGCACAACGGUGUGCUUGUGCAAGGCGGGUGUGCAAGAGGGUGAGGGUGCAAGGUGGGUGUGUACAAGGGGGUGUCGGUGCAAGACCUGGGGGUGUUGGUGCAAGGUGAGUGUGCAAGAGAGUGUGCUGGUGCAAGGUAGGUGUGCAAGAGGGGGGUGUUGGUGCAAGACUAGCAGGUAUUGGUGCAAGGUGGGUGUGCAAGGGGGUGUGUUGGUGCAAGACCAGGGGCUGUCGGUGUGAGGCAGGUGUGCACGAGCGUGUGUUGGUGCAAGGUGUGUGCGCAAGAGGGGGUGUUGGUGCAAGCCCAAUGGGUGUUGGUGCAAGGUGGGUGUGCAAGAGGGGGUGUUGGUGCAAGAUCUGGGGGUGUUGGUGCAAGGUGGGUGUGCAAGAGGGGGUGUUGGUGCAAGCCCAGUGGGUGCGUGUGCAAGGCGUGUGUGUGUGUGUGCACAAGCGUGUCCGAGUGUGCACAAGCGUGCAAGCUGCAGGGCUCCAGGCCACAGCCCACGAGGAUUUGCACACGCGUGUGCAAGCCACACCAGCGCGUGCCGCCCCCCCGGUGCUCCGGCCCUUCCCCGCCGCCCCCUUUCCCGCCCCCCCCCUCCGUGCAAGGUGGGUGUGCACAACGGUGUGCUUGUGCAAGGCGGGUGUGCAAGAGGGUGAGGGUGCAAGGUGGGGGGGUGUUGGUGCAAGGUGGGUGUGCAAAAGGGGGUGUUGGUGCAAGACAGGCGGGUGUUGGUGCAAGUGGGUGUGCAAGAAGGUGAGUUAGUGCAAGACCACUGGGUGUUGAUGCAAGGUGGGUGUGCAAAAGGAUGUUUUGGUGCAAGGUGGGUGUGCACAACGGUGUGCUUGUGCAAGGCGGGUGUGCAAGAGGGUGAGGGUGCAAGGUGGGUGUGUACAAGGGGGUGUCGGUGCAAGACCUGGGGGUGUUGGUGCAAGGUGAGUGUGCAAGAGAGUGUGCUGGUGCAAGGUAGGUGUGCAAGAGGGGGGUGUUGGUGCAAGACUAGCAGGUAUUGGUGCAAGGUGGGUGUGCAAGGGGGUGUGUUGGUGCAAGACCAGGGGCUGUCGGUGUGAGGCAGGUGUGCACGAGCGUGUGUUGGUGCAAGGUGUGUGCGCAAGAGGGGGUGUUGGUGCAAGCCCAAUGGGUGUUGGUGCAAGGUGGGUGUGCAAGAGGGGGUGUUGGUGCAAGAUCUGGGGGUGUUGGUGCAAGGUGGGUGUGCAAGAGGGGGUGUUGGUGCAAGCCCAGUGGGUGCGUGUGCAAGGCGUGUGUGUGUGUGUGCACAAGCGUGUCCGAGUGUGCACAAGCGUGCAAGCUGCAGGGCUCCAGGCCACAGCCCACGAGGAUUUGCACACGCGUGUGCAAGCCACACCAGCGCGUGCCGCCCCCCCGGUGCUCCGG